rfam:Cicer arietinum chromosome Ca4, whole genome shotgun sequence.
AGCCGUGUGAUGAGCACAAAGCGAACUAUUCUUUCGCCUUUUACUAAAGAAUACCGUGUGUACGUCACAUAUUAGCGGCAUACGCUUCUUUUUGGGAAGAGUUCUCAUUUUGAGAACUC